UAAGGCAGAGCCUGGCACCAAUGACAGAACCAGCAGUCUAUUGAGGUAAAAACCAGCACUCUGAUAAAUAAAACUUUUUUCUGAUUUAUAGACCGUAAGUGGGCUUUUGACCCUUGACUCAUGAAAAUCUGCACCAUACAAAGGCCUGGGAAGAGAGACAUGGAGGAAGGCAGACCAAGAAAAACAUAGCUCUCUUCUCCAAUAUCCUUCUUCCCAGUGUAGUUUUAUAAAAAAGUAAGAUGUUGGUAAAGCAGGAAAAAUGGACUAUAAGGGACUGACACUGAAAAGAGCUGAGUUAGUGACAAGACAAGAGAUAAAGAGAGCAAGAAAAGAAAAAAGGCAGACAAGUGUCCUGAUAAGUGGUGGUGGGAAAUCAGCUGGGAGAGAGUGUUAUGGCCCUCAGCAAUGAACAAAUCUCAAAAUCUCAGGAUCCGAAGAUCUUUCAGAGAAUUGGCUUACUCAUAAGGUCUAGACUUGGCUAGAUUGUGCAAGUCAACCGAAGGUAUUUUUUAAAUAGAACCUCAAAAUUUUGAAUCCUGAAAACAAACUCAAUUUUAUAAUCAAGAGAAACAGUAUUAAUCAAAGCUUAGUUAUCCCAAGUCAAGUUUUCAGUGUUCAUUUCUGGAGGUGAAAGGAUUAAAAAACAAACAA